rnacentral:rRNA from 1 species
GUGCACCAGGCGCGAAAACUCCGCAAUGCUCGAAAGAGUGACGGGGGAUUCCAAGUGCCUACGCUUAGCGUAGGCUGUUCAGAUGCCUAAAAAGCAUCUGGAGUAAGGGCUGGGUAAGACGGGUGCCAUCUGCAGUGGUAAUGAAAACUUGCUACUGCAAGGCAUAAGCCGCCGCGGUAAUACCCGCAGCCCGAGUGGUAGUCGCUUUUAUUGGGCCUAAAGCGUCCGUAGCCGGUCUGGUAAAUGCCUGGGGUAAAUCGUGGGGCCUAACCUCACGAAUUCCGGGUAGACUGCCAGACUUGGGACCGGUUGAGGGAGAGGGUACUCCAGGGGUAGGGGUGAAAUCCUGUAAUCCUUGGAGGACCACCGGUGGCGAAAGCGCUCUCCUAGGACGGGUCCGACGGUGAGGGACGAAAGCCAGGGGAGCAAACC